rnacentral:rRNA from 1 species
AUUGAACGCUGGCGGCAGGCCUAACACAUGCAAGUCGAGCGGAUGAAGGGAGCUUGCUCCUGGAUUCAGCGGCGGACGGGUGAGUAAUGCCUAGGAAUCUGCCUGGUAGUGGGGGAUAACGUCCGGAAACGGGCGCUAAUACCGCAUACGUCCUGAGGGAGAAAGUGGGGGAUCUUCGGACCUCACGCUAUCAGAUGAGCCUAGGUCGGAUUAGCUAGUUGGUGGGGUAAAGGCCUACCAAGGCGACGAUCGGUAACUGGUCUGAGAGGAGGAUCAGUCAAACUGGAACUGAGACACGGUCCAGACUCCUACGGGAGGAAGCAGUGGGGAAUAUUGGACAUUGGGCGAAAGCCUGCUCCAGCCAUGCCGCGUGUGUGAAGAAGGUCUUCGGAUUGUAAAGCACUUUAAGUUGGGAGGAAGGGCAGUAAGUUAAUACCUUGCUGUUUUGACGUUACCAACAGAAUAAGCACCGGCUAACUUCGUG